rnacentral:misc_RNA from 1 species
AAGUCGUAACAAGGUCUCCGUAGGUGAACCUGCGGAGGGAUCAUCAAAGGAUUUUUCCAAAGAAAAAAGGGUGUAUUGCUUUUUUCCUUGUAAAAGAGGAGGGAAGUGGUAUGCUCUUUUUUCUUCAAACAAACGAUCACAACUAUUGAAUGAAUGAAUGAAAAUUGAUUUGGUUUGACUUGACUUGAAAAAAAAAGUGUUUGCCUGAUAAUCUAAUGGUUUGGAAAAACAAGAGAAAGAAAUACAACUUUCAACAACGGAUCUCUUGGCUCUCA